UUCAAUAAUAUUAUUAUUACAUUAAAAAAGUCAUACCAAUUACAGGCCGAGCGAAGUCAUAAAGCCAAAGGUUAACUUAAAGCACUUCAGUUGUUACUUUCUGAAAAGGAUGAACGAAAGAAAAUAUUAUUCACAACAAUGUUACGAAAAAAUAAUACAAAAAAUUAAUAUCAUUAAGCAAAAAUAUAAGGUGACAUGAGGCUCACAUUUUAUAACCUCCUUUCUCAAUCUGCCUUCUUCUUAAAUAGAUCAAUCACAUCAUCGUUAGUAAUAGUAGAAAAUAUAUCUUUCCCCGCAUAGCAAAUCAAUCACUCAUUCAGGAACUCGUCACCCAUUUUGUUGCGCAAAACACUCUUGACAGUAUUCAUUGCUGAAAAAGCAUCUCUCCACUGACGUUGUGGCAACCGUCAAAAUGUGCACAAACUUUAGAAGUUGAUACACCAAAGGAAAAACAAGAUGCUUCCUAGUGCCCACCAAC
rnacentral:lncRNA from 1 species